rnacentral:rRNA from 1 species
UAGGGAAUCUUCCGCAAUGGGCGAAAGUCUGACGGAGCAACGCCGCGUGAGUGAUGACGGCCUUCGGGUUGUAAAGCUCUGUUAAUCGGGACGAAUGGCUACCAUGCGAAUAGUUUGGGAGUUUGACGGUACCGGAAUAGAAAGCCACGGCUAACUACGUGCCAGCAGCCGCGGUAAUACGUAGGUGGCAAGCGUUGUCCGGAAUUAUUGGGCGUAAAGCGCGCGCAGGCGGAUCUGCCAGUCUGUCUUAAAAGUUCGGGGCUCAACCCCGUGAUGGGAUGGAAACUACAGAUCUAGAGUAUCGGAGGGGAAAGUGGAAUUCCUAGUGUAGCGGUGAAAUGCGUAGAUAUUAGGAGGAACACCAGUGGCGAAGGCGACUUUCUGGACGAUCACUGACGCUGAGGCGCGAAAGCCAGGGGAGCGAACGGGAUUAGAUACCCCGGUAGUCCUGGCCGUAAACGAUGGGUACUAGGUGUAGGAGGUAUCGACCCCUUCUGUGCCGUAGUUAACGCAGUAAGUACCCCGCCUGGGGAGUACGGCCGCAAGGUUG